CCAGGGGUCCUGUGGCCUAGAAGAGGGGCUCCCAGUCAAGUCUAUCUGCUGAGACUCCUAGUGGUCUAGGCUGUGUGUUGAGUCUCAGGGAGGCCUACGCCUGAACCUCCAAAGCCAAUGACAUGUCAGAGUCCUAAACCCUUAGCCCAAGGCUUCCAGAAGACCUGGUGUCCUUCUCUUGAGCAGGAGGAAGAUACUUCAGAAACCCCAUUAGGGACCCUGAACAAUUAUUUCAAAUAAAAUCAACAUUAACCCGGCACUUACCAAACGCAGAAGUGUUUACAGCCUCACAUGUACUAACUUACCGACUCCUCACUGUGAUCCUGGGAGGGUCGUGCUCUUGUCAUCCUCGCCUGACAGCAUAUUCACUGGGAUGUCUCCAAGUGUGUCAAGUCUAGAAUACCCAGGAUCCUGAAAACAGGUAUGCAACCACUAAGCUACGAAGUGAG